rnacentral:rRNA from 1 species
UACGAAGGGGGCUAGCGUUGUUCGGAAUUACUGGGCGUAAAGCGCGCGUAGGCGGACAUUUAAGUCAGGGGUGAAAUGCCGGGGCUCAACCUCGGAACUGCCUUUGAUACUGGGUGUCUGGAGUUCGGGAGAGGUGAGUGGAAUUCCGAGUGUAGAGGUGAAAUUCGUAGAUAUUCGGAGGAACACCAGAAGCGAAGGCGGCUCACUGGCCCGAUACUGACGCUGAGGCGCGAAAGCGUGGGGAGCAAACAGGG